rnacentral:lncRNA from 1 species
ACAACCAGCAGCUGAGGUUCCUGCAACAGAACAACCAGCCGCUGAGGCUCCUGCCCCAGAAUCAACCACCGAAGCACCAAAGGAAGAAACCACCGAGGCACCAACAGAAACAGUAGAAAAAACAACUACAGAAGUAGCCCCAGAGGAGCCUAAAGAAGUUCCAGUUGAGACCGAGGAGGUGGUGGCAAAGGAGACAGAGGAAGAGAAGCCAGCAGAAGAGAAAUCAGAGGAGAAAACUGAAGAAGUGAAAGAAGAAGCAGAGGAGCCUAAAGAAACUACUGAAACAGAAUCAGCAGCAGCAGCACCACCAGCAACCACAGAGGAAGAGAACAAACCAGCUGAGUCAGUUGAAACCCCAGUAGAGGUUCCUGUUGAGAAGACUGAAGCUUAGACCUAUGGACAGUGUGAGUGAGAAAAACAAGUUUAAAAAUGG